CUGAAACAAACUGGGUCAGUGAGGGAUGUAUGUAUACAGGCAUCAUCACUUCAUGGAGUAGCACCCAUCAUUAAUUCCACCUUCUGAGCACCACGAGCACACUCCAUAUAGAUCUGAUCAGGGAAGGAGGAGGAAUAAAGGACCCCCUGAGAUGGAGUCCUGGAAUUGGAGAGGUCUGAGUCUCCAUUUCACAAAAACAACACGUGGCCAUAGCUAUACUUUCCUCUGGCAUUCGAGGAUGUGGGAAAUUUCUCUUGUGUUUGUUGAUCAGAGCUGGCAGUUGGAGAAGAAUUCUCUCAAUGGUGGAUAAGGGAGAGCUCUCUGGAUCCCUAAAACAGCCACAUCUACACGCAUUUGAAGAAGCUUGCAUUCUUUGAUCUCAUUUGUUUACACUUCUCAGUGGGAUUUGAUUUGAAGGAAAAAGUUCUGCUGCUUCAAAUUUUUUAAAUGUUCUUCAAAACAUUCUGGGCCAAAAUGUGGCAUAUCAUUAAUACUUACGUAACUUUUUUUUUUUAACCUGAAUCUUCUUUCAGUACAUAUGACUCUUCUUUCAGUACAAAGUUUUCAAUGAAUUGUGGUUUUUUUCUGCAAUAGGCUUCAUUUAAUAAAUUUUAUCCCAUGUCUAUAUUGAAAUAUAGU
rnacentral:lncRNA from 12 species